GGGAGUAGCUCAGUGGUAGAGCAUCACCUUGCCAAGGUGGGGGUCACGGGUUCGAAACCCGUCUCCCCCU
rnacentral:tRNA from 1 species